rnacentral:rRNA from 1 species
AUGAACGCUGGCGGCGUGCCUCAUACAUGCCAGUCGCGCGAACAGACGAGGAGCUUGCUCCUCUGACGUUAGCGGCGGACGGGUGAGUAACACGUGGAUAACCUACCUAUAAGACUGGGAUAACUUCGGGAAACCGGAGCUAAUACCGGAUAAUAUAUUGAACCGCAUGGUUCAAUAGUGAAAGACGGUUUUGCUGUCACUUAUAGAUGGAUCCGCGCCGCAUUAGCUAGUUGGUAAGGUAACGGCUUACCAAGGCAACGAUGCGUAGCCGACCUGAGAGGGUGAUCGGCCACACUGGAACUGAGACACGGUCCAGACUCCUACGGGAGGCAGCAGUAGGGAAUCUUCCGCAAUGGGAGAAAGCCUGACGGAGCAACGCCGCGUGAGUGAUGAAGGUCUUCGGAUCGUAAAACUCUGUUAUUAGGGAAGAACAAAUGUGUAAGUAACUAUGCACGUCCUGACGGUACCUAAUCAGAAAGCCACGGCUAACUACGUG